rnacentral:ncRNA from 295 species
AACCUGCGGAAGGAUCAUUA